AGUCUGGGUCUCAGUCCCCCUCCAACAGGCAGCAAGGGCUCAUGGUGUAUUUUUUUGCCCCCACAGACUCCACCAUCGCCCACGUUCAACGGGACAGGCCUCCUCCCGUGCAGCAGAUGAGCGACACCACGACGUAUGCUACAGUGACCCGCACCCAGACCCAAUAGCGCUGCCACAGGGCAAGGGCACAGGAGCCUUGCCCAUGGUUGCCUUUGCUCUCUUGCAGAGGGCUCCUACAGCCGUAAGGGACAGAUAGCACUGCAGGAAUGUGCUCGCAUGUGUGUGCCAAUGGGUGUGUGCACUGAAGAUUUGGUUUGGUUACAUGAUAAAUAAACAUCUCUAACUUUG